GACGAGUGUGAUUCUGUCUGGGAACACGAGGUUUUAUGUCACCAGAGCCACUAAGUGAGAGAGAGCGGGAGGCUGAGCGCUCGGAGCCAUCGACGGAUCGGAGACUGUGCGGGGAACAGGGAAUCGUGCAUUAGGGCCCAUGCCUCCUCCAGGCAGCGAGAUACAUGUGCAGGCUGCAAGCCUCCUUCCUUCCAGCUCAACCUCAAGACUAUAAUCCAUCUAUAUGAAUGAGUAAUGAGUCAUCAAUCAUUAAGGAAUCAUCCUCAAUGUGGUUUUGACAAAAAAAAUGAAAAAUUCACAUUAUAUCAAACAGAUACCUCGAGCAUCAUAACUAGGACUUGUAACAAAAAUGAGGCUCCAACUGUUCCCAGGCUUCCUGGACGCGUGCUUUUCUAUCUGGGGCCAGUAGCUGCCUGCAACCUCUGCCAAAGGGCCCACCCAGAGUGGGCAGGGGCUUCCAGCAGAAGUGUGGGCUGCCAACAAGAAGCGGGACUUUGGCUGGCUUCGCGGCUGGAACCCAGGAUGGUGGGGGCUCCCGGGCUUGAGCACAAACCCCUUACUCCCAACACAGAGACAGGUGUGCACGAAUCUGCACCCAGCCGCCAGUUAGAACAACAUUUUUUUUCACCCAGGCUCCAUAAAUCAGCCCUCUAAUCUUUCACUGUCCGGCGGGGUCCCUCGCUGAGAAUGUGAUGAAUGGGCCUCCCAGCCCCUGACAACUGCUGUGAAAUCACUCAGAGCCCAAGACAAACCUUUAAAUCUGACGUUAUAGAGUGUUGAAAGGAGAAAUGUCUGUUUUCAUAACCUACCUCAGUUAUAAUAAAUAUUUAA